GUCUCAGUUCGGAUCGGAGUCUGCAACCCGACUCCGUGAAGCUGGAUUCGCUAGUAAUCGCGCAUCAGCCAUGGCGCGGUGAAUACGUUCCCGGGCCUUGUACACACCGCCCGUCAAGCCAUGGAAGCCGGGAGUGCCUGAAGUAUGCAACCGCAAGGAGCGUCCUAAGGUAAAACCGGUGACUGGGGCUAAGUCGUAACAAGGUACC
rnacentral:rRNA from 1 species